rnacentral:rRNA from 1 species
AGCAGCCGCGGUAAUUCCAGCUCCAAUAGCGUAUAUUAAAGUUGUUGCAGUUAAAAAGCUCGUAGUUGAACUUCAGGCCUGGCUGGGCGGUCCGCCUUCCGGGUGAGUACUGCCUGUGGUCGGGUCCUACCUUCUGGCGAAGCGUCAUGGCCUUAACCGGCCGUGGCGGGGAACCAGGACUUUUACUGUGAAAAAUUAGAGUGUUCAAAGCAGGCACGCGCUUGAAUACAUUAGCAUGGAAUAAUGGAAUAGGACAGUGGUUCUAUUUGUUGGUUUCUAGGACCGUUGUAAUGAUUAAUAGGGAUAGUUGGGGGCAUUAGUAUUCAAUUGUCAGAGGUGAAAAUUCUUGGAUUUAUUGAAGACUAACUACUGCGAAAAGCAUUUGCCAAGGAUGUUUUCAUUAAUCAAGAACGAAGUUAGGGGAUCGAAGACGAUCAGAUACCGUCGUAGUCUUAACCAUAAAACUAUGCCGACUAGGAAUCGGGCGAUGUUGACAAAAUGACGCGCUCGGCACCUCAUG